rnacentral:lncRNA from 1 species
GGCUUUGUCUUGGAAGCUCCUCCAUCAAUCAGAAUUCCAAAUUGACACUGUUAAGGUCCCCAGAGGUGUUGAGGGUCUGGAUUCAGCAAUUAUGGUGAAUAAAAACCUUGCAGCUAGCUAGGGCAAAUGCCAGAAUUCCAACUACUAACAGUGGAAAAGGGAAGUGGUUUAUGUUAGACUAUGGUCAUACUCUUCUGAUUAAACCCACUCAAAAAAAAAAAAGAGAGAGAGAAAGAAAGAAAGACAACACUGUAAUAUUUUCCAAUGACUGUUUAUCAUGAAUUACGUCAGCCUUCAUUUAAGUUGCUAUUAUUUCUCCUUAAUGCUUCUCUGGUGCCUACAUAAUUCACCACACUGGCAGCCUUGGGACUAUGAAAUAAGCUUUCACAGUGUCCAUACAAGGCGUGGGUUUUUUUUUUUUUUGGUUGUUGUUGUUAAUUAUUAUAAAACUCCUUUAACUUUUUACAAAGUGGCAUAAAAUAUUGUUGAGGUAUUUAUGGCUCAAACGACAUGGCUCUAUUUUGCUCCUGGCUAGUUCUUAACUAAAGCAAUCAUUUGUGGUUAUUAGAGCUGCCAGAGAUAUUAUGUCAGAACUGGUUUAAGACUAUUAUGUAUCACAUGUCAGUACUUGAGGCUGCCUUUC